rnacentral:rRNA from 1 species
AGUGAACGCUGGCGGUAUGCCUAACACAUGCAAGUCGAACGGCAGCACAGUAAGAUCUUGCUCUUACGGGUGGCGAGUGGCGGACGGGUGAGGAAUACAUCGGAAUCUACUUUUUCGUGGGGGAUAACGUAGGGAAACUUACGCUAAUACCGCAUACGACCUACGGGUGAAAGCAGGGGAUCUUCGGACCUUGCGCGAUUGAAUGAGCCGAUGUCGGAUUAGCUAGUUGGCGGGGUAAAGGCCCACCAAGGCGACGAUCCGUAGCUGGUCUGAGAGGAUGAUCAGCCACACUGGAACUGAGACACGGUCCAGACUCCUACGGGAGGCAGCAGUGGGGAAUAUUGGACAAUGGGCGAAAGCCUGAUCCAGCCAUACCGCGUGGGUGAAGAAGGCCUUCGGGUUGUAAAGCCCUUUUGUUGGGAAAGAAAAGCAGCAGGUUAAUACCCCGCUGUUCUGACGGUACCCAAAGAAUAAGCACCGGCUAACUUCGUG